rnacentral:tRNA from 1 species
GUUCCAUUAACAUAGUGGUAAGUGCAUUCGGCUUGCUACUGAACGGGAAAGGGUCAAUCCCCUUAUGUAAUA